rnacentral:rRNA from 1 species
UGUAGACUCGCUAAUAUCGGGUCUAUACGACAAAGGCUCCAAAGGAAGCCACGGCUAACUCUGUGCCAGCAGCCGCGGUAAUACAGAGGUGGCAAGCGUUGUUCGGAAUAAUUGGGCGUAAAGAGCACGUAGGUGGAUUUGUAAGUCAGACGUGAAAGCCUUCUGUUCAACGGAAGAAUAGCAUCUGAAACUACAAACCUUGAGUGUAGGAGGGGAGAGUGGAAC